UAUAGUGAGUCGUNAUUAUAUAAAUACAGAGGUGUGCGUAGACAGUUAAUCGGAUUUACUGUGGCGUAAAGCGCGCGUAGGUGGUUAAUUAAGUCAAAUGUGGAAUCCCCGAGCUUAACUUGGGAAUUGCAUUCGAUACUGGUUAGCUAGAGUAUGGGAGAGGAUGGUAGAAUUCCAGGUGUAGCGGUGAAAUGCGUAGAGAUCUGGAGGAAUACCGAUGGCGAAGGCAGCCAUCUGGUCUAAUACUGACACUGAGGUGCGAAAGCAUGGGGAGCAAACAGGAUUAGAUACCCUGGUAGUCCAUGCCGUAAACGAUGUCUACUAGCCGUUGGGGGAUUUGAUCCUUUAGUGGCGCAGCUAACGCGUUAAGUAGACCGCCUGGGGAGUACGGUCGCAAGACUAAAACUCAAAUGAAUUGACGGGGGCCCGCACAAGCGGUGGAGCAUGUGGUUUAAUUCGAUGCAACGCGAAGAACCUUACCUGGCCUUGACAUAGUAGAAACUUUCCAGAGAUGGAAAGGUGCCUUCGGGAAUCUACAUACAGGUGCUGCAUGGCUGUCGUCAGCUCGUGUCGUGAGAUGUUGGGUUAAGUCCCGCAACGAGCGCAACCCUUUUCCUUACUUGCCAGCAUUUCGGAUGGGAACUUUAAGGAUACUGCCAGUGACAAACUGGAGGAAGGCGGGGACGACGUCAAGUCAUCAUGGCCCUUACGGCCGGGGCUACACACGUGCUACAAUGGUCGGUACAAAGGGUUGCUACACAGCGAUGUGAUGCU
rnacentral:rRNA from 1 species